AGGCCUAUGCGCAAAUGGUAAAGCGGUUUUUCCCUACCAAAAAAUUGGGAAGAAUGGUAUCGAUUCUAGGGAGAUAUGUGGAGGUUCGAAUCCUUCUGGGCCUA
rnacentral:tRNA from 1 species